UACGUAGGGGGCAAGCGUUGUCCGGAUUUAUUGGGCGUAAAGAGCGUGUAGGCGGCCAGGUAGGUCAGCUGUGAAAACUCGAGGCUCAACCUCGAGACGUCGGUUGAAACCACCUGGCUAGAGUCCGGAAGAGGAGAGUGGAAUUCCUGGUGUAGCGGUGAAAUGCGCAGAUAUCAGGAAGAACACCGGUGGCGAAGGCGGCCAACUGGACAGAUACUGACGCUGAGACUCGAAAGCGUGGGGAGCAAACAGG
rnacentral:rRNA from 1 species